CAAUUGCAUUACUAUUAAGUACUUGCAUAAGUAACAUUAUGCAAUUGCAUGAUGACGAAUGUGCAAUUGCUUAUGUAAUCCUUGUUGCUUUUUAAUGUUUGAUCACUUUUAUCGUUUUUUUUCACUGUUUUCUAUCUAUUACACUUUGUAUGCUUUAGGUUUUUCUUGUUUAUGUUUCCUGACUUUUGUAUAAGCCUUAGUUUUACAGUUUGUCUAAUCUCUUUGAUAUUCUUUCUAUUUUGUGUAAGAUCUCUAAUUUGAUGUCAAGAAAUGAUUUUUCAUUCUCUGUUUGACAUAGAGGCUGGACCAAACUAUUGGUUAAGGCUCUGUUUUAGGGUAAUUUUGCUUAAUGGUCAUAUAAGGAUAUCUUUCCAAUUUGAAUAUAUUUUAGGGGAGUUUAGUUCAAUAAAUUUGUUUUAUUAAAAUACCUCUCUCGUUGAAUCUAAUUUUCAUUGGAUCAUGGCAUAGUGUUGUUUUUCAUAAUAAUCAUAUUCGUGUAAUAAUUAUAUCCAUCAAAUAUGUUCUUGAUGUUAGAGUAAUACAUAUGAUUGAAUUUUUUAUAUUAAAGUAAUACAUAGGAUUCACAUUCUAUAUUGCAUUUUGUAACACAAUUGAGAAUAAUUAUUUUUAUUUUAUGUUUUAUGUAGGUAUUCAAUGUGUUUCCUAUUGGAUGAGAUUGAUCUUUAUAUUCUAUAUUUUACGUUGUAACCUAUAAUGUUUUGAAUGUUGUAAAGAAGGAUGGGUGAAGCCCACAUAGCCAAUUAACAUUUAAGUUCAACACCAAACCAAACCACACACCCAUCAAACCAAAUCAAACACCUACCAAACCAAAUCACACACCCACCAAACCAAGUCAUUUGCUUUGCCUAUAAAUAAGCAUUAUAUUUGCUUGUAAUGAUAUAUGAAAAGAGAGAAGAGGAAGAGAAGGAAGAAAUAGGAUGAGUGAGUGAAGAGAAAGAAAGUAGGAGAAAUUCUAUCAGUGUAAACACCACAAAGAGAAAUAUAAUUCCACUCCCAAUAUUACAGUGGUACUUCUCAUCCUCUUAUUAUUCUAGUUUUAUAACAUGUUGUCAGCACGAUAAGUCUCUCCUUUUAUUUCUGAAAUUUUUCCAACUCAACAUUAUGUGGUUAUUUCUCUGUCUCCUCUCUGUCAUAUGUCUACUCUCACUUUACUACUACAACGACAUGUAAACUUUCUUUUUUGUGUUCUCACAAUUUCUAUGUUGUUUAAUUCAUGCUUGUUUAAUUUAUUUCUUUGUAACACAAAUUAUUGUAAUAAAAUGAUGGUGUGAUCUUAAAACCCAUUUAUUAUAUCUUGAAUAGUGG
rnacentral:lncRNA from 1 species